CCCGCUGAACUUAAGCAUAUCAAUAAGCGGAGGAAAAGAAACUAACAAGGAUUCCCCUAGUAACUGCGAGUGAAGCGGGAAGAGCUCAAAUUUGAAAUCUGGCGGUCCCUUGGGCUGUCCGAGUUGUAAUCUAGAGAAGUGCUACCUGUGCUGGACCGUGUACAAGUCUCCUGGAAUGGAGCAUCACAGAGGGUGAGAAUCCCGUCUUUGACACGGACUGCCAUGUGCGAUAUGGUGCGCUCUCGAAGAGUCGAGUUGUUUGGGAAUGCAGCUCAAAACGGGUGGUAAAUGCCAUCUAAAGCUAAAUAUUGGCGAGAGACCGAUAGCGAACAAGUACCGUGAGGGAAAGAUGAAAAGAACUUUGGAAAGAGAGUUAAACAGUACGUGAAAUUGUUGAAAGGGAAACGUUUGAAGUCAGUCGCGUCGGCCGAGACUCAACCUUGCUCUUCGCUCGGUGCACUUCUUGGUCGACGGGUCAGCAUCAAUUUCGACCGCCGGACAAAGGUCAGGGGAAUGUGGCAUCCUUCGGGAUGUGUUAUAGCCCUUGAUUCGCAUACGGCGAUUGGGAUUGAGGAACUCGGCGCUUCACGCGUCCAGGAUGCUGGCAUAAUGGCUUUAAGCGACCCGUCUUGAAACACGG
rnacentral:rRNA from 1 species